GCGGUCGUUGCAUGCAUACUUACAGAUCUUACCUUAUAGUUGUCUUGCUACUAUAGUAGAUAUUCAUGUAUGCUUUCUGUUCUAGUUACAGUAGCGGUAGCCGUUUAUUCAGUAUAGUUCUUACUUCCUUUCAGUUUAUCGCUAUUGUAUAUCUGCUCAUUACCUUGUUUAUUUCCACUGACCCGUGUUGUUGUAUAGUUCUUCCUGAUCCGGUGAGUACUCCUCGCCUUCUUCGGCUUGCGGUACCCACUGGGAGGGGAGACAUGUUUACAUGUUCUCACCUCCCCCACCAUUUUUCAGGUAUCGCGGGCGAUGAGUAGUGGGACGAGACGUGAGGUAUGUGUGUAGCGGUCGAUAGAGCUUCCGACCCAGGUUAUUUCGAUUUAGUUAUUAUCCUUGGUAUUUCUGUUGAUAUAUAGUUAAGUUGGUUUAUGUGGUUCAGUGUUUAUUUACAUUUAAAAAUGUGGAUUUCUGGAUUUUGUAAAAUAAAAGGUUUUCUACCCCUCGUGGUAGCGUUUUUAAAAGAAUAAAGGUUUCUGUGUAGGAAACAGUUUUCAAAAGAUUUUUGUGGAUUUCUGUUUAAACCUUUAAUGUAAAACUGUGAUGUGAAUGGUGAAUGUAUGAAUGUAUAGUUAUCUUUAUAUUCAUCUGGUUGUGGUUGUAUCCUGGUUGUACUGUGUAUUUGAUCGACGCCGUGCAAAUAUAGGGGAGACUCUGUCCGUGU
rnacentral:lncRNA from 1 species